GGUUGGAUCAUUAAAAAUACAAUUUGGCUGACGGCGUAUCCGUGAAAAGAUUGCGUCGUCGCUCGCCAAUCCACACCCUUGUGAACCAUUGAAAUGUCUCUUGGCGAUAAGCGCUUAAAUCCGCAGAACUUCAUUAUGGGCCCGAAAAUCAGCUUGACCGGGUCUCGAUAACUUGCGGUUGGUUUCUGCUUCGUAAGAAGCGAUCCAGGGUGCUGUCGUCAGUCAAGCGAAGAACCACACUUUUAUUGAUUACAUUUAUGCUGAGAUAUUUGAUGACUAAAUAAGAAACAACUUUAGACAACGGAUCUCUUGGCUCUCGCAACGAUGAAGAACGCAGCGAAAUGCGAUACGUAGUGUGAAUUGCAGAAUCCAGUGAAUCAUCGAAUCUUUGAACGCAUAUUGCGCCUUCUGGUAUUCCGGGAGGCAUGUCUGUUUGAGAACCUCGACGUACAUCACACCCCCAAUCUCGUUUGUUUUUUCUAAAGCACGACGGUUUGGUUCUCGUGUGGAUCUGGGCUCUAACACUUGCAAUGUGUGGCCUGAAAAACAAUGUCGUGAGGCUCUUCCUACACUGCGCAAGCAGUACAAGUGCUCGCUCUCAUUUGACGUGAUAAUACUGGCGAAAGCCGUUCAAGCGUUUUCUGAAGAGCUUCAUUUGAAGGAAUUGAUGCAACACGAUUCUUGACCUUGACAUGCCAGGCGGUUGUCGAAUGACGACCGAAGACCUGAACACUUGGUCUCAAAUCAGACAAGAAUACCCGCUGAACUUAAGCAUAUCAGUAAGCGGAGGAAAAGAAACUAACAAGGAUUCCCUUAGUAACGGCGAGUGAAGCGGGAACAGCUCAAUUUUUAAAUCUCCCGCAAGGGCGAAUUGUGGUUUAGAGAAGCGUUUUCUAGGGUGGGCUCGGUCCAAGUCCUCUGGAACGAGGCAUCAGAGAGGGUGAGAAUCCCGUAUCUGGUCGCAGCCUUUCAUCCGUUAUGAUACGUCUUCGAAGAGUCGGAUAGCUUGGGAAUGCUGUCCAAAAUGGGUGGUAAAUACCAUCUAAAGCUAAAUAUUGGCGAGAGACCGAUAGCGAACAAGUACCGUGAGGGAAAGAUGAAAAGAACUUUGAAAAGAGAGUUAAACAGUACGUGAAAUUGUCUAAAGGGAAACGCUUGAAACCAGUAUUGCGCGUCGGGGAUCAGCCGUUCACAUCGAGCGGUGCACUCCCUGUGCGUGCGGGUCAGCAUCGGUUUGACUUGGAGUAGAAAGCCUGAGGAAGGUGUUCGCAUCGGCCUGCUGGUCAUGCUCCGGGUUGGACCGAGGAACGCAGCCAUGUCAUUGGGGAACCGGUCGCCUCCUCACCCGCGAGAUCAGACAACUUGUUGAUUGAUCUUGUUUGGGAGUUGCGCACGGCCGGGUACCACAUCAUGUGCUUAGGAUGCUGGCGAAAUGGUUUUAAACGACCCGUCUUGAAACACGGACCAAGGAGUCCAACACAUAUGCGAGUCUUUGGGUGGCAAACCCAUGGGCGCAAUGAAAGUGAAAGGAUACUAACCCGCAAGGGCUCCGUAUCGACCGGUCUGGAUUUUUUUGAUGGAUCUGAGUAAGAGCAUAUGUGCUGGGACCCGAAAGAUGGUGAACUAUGCCUGGAUAGGGUGAAGCCAGAGGAAACUCUGGUGGAGGCUCGCAGCGGUUCUGACGUGCAAAUCGAUCGUCAAAUCUGGGUAUAGGGGCGAAAGACUAAUCGAACCAUCUAGUAGCUGGUUCCCUC
rnacentral:misc_RNA from 1 species